UUUGGAUGGUGCCAAAGCUUUAUGGGUAUUGAGUUUUAAAUUUAUCUUCAUUACUCCUAUGAAGGGUGGUUUGAAUAAUAUGGAGAAGAGCAAAGGCAAAGUUGUUAGUACUGCAAGUAAAAUUGUGGGAAGAAAAGCAUUGGAUGAUGUCAGCAAUGUCCAGGGCAAAUCUUCAAGGAAAGUAGUGCAUGAUGGUCCCAAGCUAAUGUGACUCUGCACAACAGUUCAAAGCCAAUCCUAAAAUGGAUGAUACACAAUCCUCUAUGGCAGCAUAAUCUCCUUUGUUUCUCAGUAAGUUGGCACCAACAAGUUCAAUUAUUGAAAGAGAUUUCAAGCUUUGUCCAAAUGGUGGUAGAACCAAGCAAACUGUUGAUAUCAUUCUG